CGCACAUUGCGCCCGCCAGUAUUCUGGCGGGCAUGCCUGUUCGAGCGUCAUUUCAACCCUCAAGCCUCGCUUGGUGUUGGAGAUCAGCUGUACUGCUGUCUCUGAAAUACAGUGGCGGUCUCGCCGUAGCUUCCUCUGCGUAGUAAUUCGUUCUCGCUCUGGAGCUCCGGUGUGGCCACGCCGUAAAACCCCCCACACUUUUAAGGUUGACCUCGAAUCAGGUAGGAAUACCCGCUGAACUUAA
rnacentral:misc_RNA from 1 species